rnacentral:lncRNA from 1 species
CUUUGGAUUAAAACCACAAAAGCACAAGUUUUCAAUGCUUAAAACUAUAUUCAAAUAAAGACCCAUAUACACGAUGAAGAGAAAAUCUCUAAUAAUUUAUUUGACCUUCAGUUUCACAUUGUGAAAAAAAAAAAUACAGUUUUACAAAACCUCAAAAAUGUAGCAAACAAGUACAUAUGAACACGAACACUUCUUCAACUUACACAGAGUUUUGUACGUGAACCACAUAUUCAAUAACCAAGAGAAGGAUAUUAUUCAGCUCUAAUCAUUCUUAUUCAGACAGGUGUCAAGCCCAGAGAAAAGGGGGCUACACAAUUAUACCAGAAGUGGAAGGCUGCCCUUUGUUAUCUGUUUCCACAGCAACCAGUCCACAGAAUAAGAAGAACCUUCUCUGUCUUAUGCCAAGGUUUUUGUGUGCACUGUGCUGUGAAUUGUAUUUGCUUCAAAGCGCGGGACGUUUCACAGCUCCCUCUGGCUCACACACAGCAAUUAAGAGAGGAUUCAAGGACACACCACAACUUUGAACCAGCUGCAGAAAAUUCACCCCGCUUUCAGAAGCCACACAGUGACACCCACAUCUUGGCAGCUUUGCAUCAUAAACCAUACAGGGCUGUAAAUACUACAAUAUUAAGGACACCGACUAUGCCGCCAGGGUACAGACAUUUGCAUUGCUCAGAACACAUCCAGGAGCGAGGGACUGACUGCCAGAAAUUAUUUUGGUCCAACUAUAGCCCACCUAUCCAUGGCACAGAUGGACACGUACAAUCAGUCUAA